AAAAAACAUUACUUUCAUUUUAGCGAAUACUACGUGUUGGAAAUUACGGAUAGUCUCAUAGUGCCAACUGGUGUAAUAAAAGUUGAGGUAUACGUCAACAAUCAUUUAUUAUCAAUAAUCAAUGCAUGGAGAAACCGUGCAAUGGGAAAGUUCAACCGCAGACAUUUAAGAAAAAGAAGAUAAAAGCCAUAGAAAACCUAUUGAUAAACUCGAGGAGUACACAACUGGAAUGGCCCACAAAGUUCUGGUUAAUAGUCAUUUUACAGCUGGAAUAUUCAAAGAAACUUUCAAGUCACUAGGCCAUGUACAACCUGCUGUAUUAUAUCCCAUUCCUGAUUUUGACGCUUUAAACAAAGCAGUUGACAAGGAGUUUGUAGAAAAGCUUCCACAAAAACCAUUCUUAUUCCUUUCCAUCAAUAGAUAUGAAAGGAAGAAGAACAUUUCUCUUGCCGUAAUGGCUUUUGAACUAUUGGUGGAAAAACAUGGGACUUCCAAGGUUCACCUCAUAAUUGCUGGUGGGUAUGACGAGAGAGUGACAGAAAACAGAGAGUAUUACAAAGAGUUAAAGGACCUUGUGGACCAACUUAGCCUCACAGAUCAUGUGACUUUUCUGAGGUCCUUCUCUGAUGCACAGAAGCGAUCCUUAUUGUCAAGCGCCACCUGCUUGUUGUACACACCUGAGAAUGAACAUUUCGGGAUUGUUCCCAUUGAGGCCAUGUACCUGCAGUGUCCAGUUAUAGCUGCUAAUAGUGGGGGACCUCUGGAGACAGUUGCUGAUGGCGCCACUGGAUACUUGUGUGAUCCGGCACCAGAUAAAUUUUCUGAGGCUAUGAGCAAAUUUGUGGAGGAUGAAAAUUUGCAUAAAAAGUUGGGAGAAGCAGGUAAACAGAGAGUGAUCCAAAAAUUCUCAUUCAAACAAUUUACUGAACAGCUUUGUGACAUUGUGGAAAAUCUUGCACAAGACAAAUCUCAUAACAUUUCCCCUAUUUGGAUCUUGACAAUUAUAUCACUUGUUUUUCUCAUAAUUGUUAUAUAUUUACCUUGAUUUUAAUCAAUGAAUGUCAAAAGACAGGUAUGUCUUAUUUGGUUUGUCAUCAUCAAAUUGUUGAACACAGUUGUGCUCAAAAUGUAUAGAUUGAAGUAAAUUGUUAUUCAGAUAUACAAUUAUGUAUUGUUAAAUAAUUGUUAUUUCCAAAGAAUGUUUGCAGAAUUGAUGCUAAAAUACAUGUAAAUGUGUAUUUAGUCUUAAUUUUACUUGUACUGUAAUAUGUUAGAAGAUAUUAAAAUGUGCAACAGAACACUUUUAAUGUUAAUGAUUCAGGUUUAAUGAUAGCAGAAAAACAGGGCAGUAAAUGUGCAAUAUUUAUAUAGACCAUCAAUAAUGAUUACCAUUAAAUGAAUGUAUACUGUAAUUUGAUUCUUUUACAAAUUGACUUUCUACGGUAAACUGUAAUUGUACCAUGAAAUGCAAAAUUUACACAUAUAAUUAUGUUUGAUCAUUAGAAAUGUGACCAACUUUAAAUAAUUCACAGAUUUCAAAAGUUACUGAUUCUUUUGUUGGGUUAGGGGGAGGGUGUCUUAGACUGCAGCAUUUUGGCUUGAAUCCUGAUAUUAUACAAAAAAAUUCAUAUGUACAGCUGCACAGGGUUCGCAGUAACCUAUAGAUACUAUAAUGUCUUUUUACAAGAGAAUAAAAUAUGAUACCAGU
rnacentral:misc_RNA from 1 species